GCAUUUCUGAAGCCAAGCUCAGUGAACUGCUUGAGUGUGGCAAGUCUAACUUUAAUUGAAAUGAUUUUGUAUGGUCUGUAAAUCAACUUAAUGAACUGAUAUUCAGUAUUCCUUAAUGCAUUAUGACCAGUGUAGUAGUGGCUUUUGCCUAAAAAUCUUAUUUAAAGUUUGUCUGUUUAUUAACAUUAAUAUUCAAAUAUAUACAGCUUUUAACAGCUUUUCACAUGGCAUAGAAACACACUAACUCAUAACUAAUGCUGUUGCCUUAAGUAAAUGACCUAAAUGGUUCAUGGCAUGCUUUGGAGAAAAUGUGCUCAUCAUGUUUGUAUUCUCCAUAGGAUUCCAGAAGUUUGGCAUCUCCCUCAGCCAAUUGCCUAAUGCAAAGCUCUUUGAUGACUCCAAAACUGAGGUUGACCAUGAGGUGUUUGAAGAAGUGAUCGGUGCAAAUACUGGUGUUUAUGAGCUAUCCAUUGAUGGUGUCUCUGAAGGAGACCUUGGAGGUGCUCUUUUACCUGUUUGGAUGAAAAUGGUUCUCAAACUUUACGUAAAAUAUUGCUAUGCAGGUUUUGUUUCUGAGGCACCAGCUGUUGGCCAGUCGACACCAGCUGUCGACACCAGCUGUAAGUCAAGAGGACCCUGAUACUGACUCUACUGUCAUUCUGAGCGAUGAAAGUCCCCAGGGGAAACGGUCCAGACCAAAUAGUUCUGAUGCCCAUGCUGUAAGUAUCUUUUUUGUGGCAUAUUGGCUCGAAAUUAUUCAACCGUGUCCUGGCCUAUUGAGCCAUUUGUCUCAGAACACCAACAUACCUAGAGAAAGUUCCCAAAUGAAAGAUAAUUCAUGGCCUGUUGCCAGUUAUAUUUGCCCAACACAGUAAUCUGAUGGCAACUGGCAGUUGCUCUUAAUUAAUGCGCAAAAGCCUCCUGGAUCCAUUCACUUCAAGUUUAGCGUCAUGUGCUCGCAAAUAAGCAUUUAUCAGCAAGUCCUCCAUCCUGCUGUCUUGAGUUUUGCUGAAAAUGUGUGUGUGGUAGUCAUGUGCAAUGACUGCUGCAGGCUAAAAUAAGAGCUCCAUCUUAUUGUUGUUUUCCUAGUUGGUUGACGAAAUACUUCGCAAGAAACCUGGUGGUGAUAAUGUCAUUAGGGAGUAUGACAGAACAAAAAUGUUAUCAGACAGUACACGGCGGAAAACGGUGAACAUUCUAGUAGCUGAAAUGAUGGAGAAGCAUGGGCGAGUGUCAUGAGUAUUGAACACAGAAUCUCUUCUUAGGCUAUGCUAAGUAUGUGAUUAAUAAGACAGAAUGUUUGUUUCCUCAGAAAAAUGCCACCACGCCAUAUAAGAGAAAUGCAUCUUGAGCUCUUUCCAUACCUGAGGGAUCCCCAAGCCAAACAUGGCUAUGUAAGUUGUUUGACAUUUGUGCACCCCCAACACACAAACUCGUCCAUACAUGUUACUCACUUGUUGACCCUUCAUCUUUUUGCAGCUCUGAACAGCCUUUUAAACUUUUGUUUCACCGAUAGGAACUUUACUAUGAUUCCCAGAGCGGCCAGGGUUACCUCAGUUGGCGAAUAAAGACGGUCCAGAGAAACAACUCGCACAAUCUCCAUCAAGACAUUUGAUGGAGGUCAAAUGUCUUGCAGACACCUCACAACACUCUGAUGAAGACUGCGUCAAUGCAAUCUCCCUGAUGAAGCAUAGUGUUGAUGAAGAAACAGUCAAGCAGAAAAUGAGGAGUACCUUUCGGUAUCGAAGGAAUAUGGUUGAAGAUCCUGAAAGAUGUGGCGAUGUCCUGGCAGAAUACCCACGUUUUAAAGAUGUGAAAGGCCUAGUAAGUAGGGCUGGGCGAUAUAUCGAAUAUAUGCGAUGUAUCGCGAGAUGU
ensembl:lncRNA